rnacentral:tRNA from 1 species
GCCCACGUAGCUCAGUAGGUAGAGCACUUGCUUGGUAAGUAAGAGGUCAGCAGUUCAAAUCUGCCCGUGGGCUCCA